ensembl:misc_RNA Metazoa_SRP Metazoan signal recognition particle RNA
GCCGGGCGAGGUGGCGCACGCCUGUAGUUCCAGAUACUCGGGAGGCUGAGAGACGAGGAUCGCUUGAGUCCAGGAGUACUGGGCUGUAGUGAGCUAUGCCGACAGGGUGUCCGCACUAAGUUCGACAUCAAUAUGGAUAUGGUGACCUCCCGGGAGCAGGGGACCACCAGGUUGCCCAAGGAGGGGUGAACCAACCCAGGCUGGAAACAGCAGGUCAAAACUCCGGUGCUGAACAACUAUACCCAUGCUUCCAAACGCAUCUCUGCUCAUGGCGCCCACAUCCUGGCCAUCAUGCCCACUGACAUCUCC